rnacentral:rRNA from 1 species
AGUAAAAGUCGUAACAAGGUCUCCGUUGGUGAACCAGCGGAGGGAUCAUUACUGAGUUAUCACAACUCCCAACCCAUGUGAACUUACCUUCUGUUGCCUCGGCAGGGCGCACCCCGCGAGGGGCUUGCUGGCCUGCCGGUGGACUACUAAACUCUUGUUUUUUUCGUGGAACUCUGAGUAACAAAACAUAAUAAUCAAAACUUUCAACAACGGAUCUCUUGGUUCUGGCAUCGAUGAAGAACGCAGCGAAAUGCGAUAAGUAAUGUGAAUUGCAGAAUUCAGUGAAUCAUCGAAUCUUUGAACGCACAUUGCGCCUAUUAGUAUUCUAGUAGGCAUGCCUGUUCGAGCGUCAUUUCAACCCUCAAGCCCUGGUUGCUUGGUGUUGGGAGCCUGCCGUAAGACGCAGCUCCCCAAAGCUAGCUGGCAGAGCUAGGGUGUGCUCUAAGCGUAGUAGAAUCUCCUCUCGCUUCGGACGCCGCCCCGGCCCUCUCGCCAUUAAAGCCCCAAACUUUUUUUCUAUGGUUGACCUCGGAUCAGGUAGGAAUACCCGCUGAACUUAAGCAUAUCAAUAAGCGGAGGAAAAGAAACCAACAGGGAUUGCCCCAGUAACG